rnacentral:ncRNA from 2 species
CAGGCUGGUUAGAUGGUUGUCC